rnacentral:tRNA from 1 species
UGCAUCGGCCGAGAAUCGAAACCGGACCGCCUGCGUGUUAGGCGAGCAUUCUAACACUGAACCACCGAUGC